rnacentral:rRNA from 1 species
ACGGGGAGCAGCAGGCGCGAAACCUUUACACUGCACGCGAGUGCGAUAAGGGGACUCCGAGUGCGAGGGCAUAUAGUCCUCGCUUUUCACGACCGUAAGGUGGUGGUAGAAUAAGUGCUGGGCAAGACCGGUGCCAGCCGCCGCGGUAAUACCGGCAGCACGAGUGAUGACCGCUAUUAUUGGGCCUAAAGCGUCCGUAGCUGGCCACGCAAGUCUAUCGGGAAAUCCGCGCGCUUAACGCGCGGGCGUCCGGUGGAAACUGCGUGGCUUGGGACCGGAAGACCAGAGGGGUGCGUCCGGGGUAGGAGUGAAAUCCCGUAAUCCUGGACGGACCACCGGUGGCGAAAGCGCCUCUGGAAGACGGAUCCGACGGUGAGGGACGAAAGCUCGGGUCACGAACCGGAUUAGAUACCCGGGUAGUCCGAGCUGUAAACGAUGUCUGCUAGGUGUGGCACAGGCUACGAGCCUGUGCUGUGCCGUAGGGAAGCCGUGAAGCAGACCGCCUGGGAAGUACGUCCGCAAGGAUGAAACUCAAAGGAAUUGACGG